rnacentral:rRNA from 1 species
UACGGAGGGGGCUAGCGUUGUUCGGAAUUACUGGGCGUAAAGCGCGCGUAGGCGGAUCUGCAAGUCGGGGGUGAAAUCCCGAGGCUCAACCUCGGAACUGCCUUCGAUACUGCGGGUCUCGAGUCCGGGAGAGGUGAGUGGAAUUCCUAGUGUAGAGGUGAAAUUCGUAGAUAUUAGGAAGAACACCAGUGGCGAAGGCGGCUCACUGGCCCGGUACUGACGCUGAGGCGCGAAAGCGUGGGGGGCAAACAGG